rnacentral:misc_RNA from 1 species
UUUUCUAUUAAAUCUAUUUGUCAUCAAUGAUAUUGAUCUUAUGAAUAUCCAGAAUUUAAUAACUAUGAAUUUGAUUCAUAUAUAUUAAAUUGUGAAUCAAUAAAUCAAUUUCGACUUUUAGAAACUGAUAAUCGAUUAAUUAUUCCAUUUAAAAUUUCAAUACGUAUAAUUGUAUCAUUUUUUUUUUUUUUAUACCAUUUAUAAUUGGAGGAUUUGGUAAUUAUUUAAUCCCAUUAAUAUUAGGUUCACCUGAUACAGCUUUCCCACGCAU